rnacentral:rRNA from 1 species
GACGUAGGGCGCGAGCGUUGUCCGGAUUUAUUGGGCGUAAAGAGCUCGUAGGCGGUUUGUCGCGUCUGCUGUGAAAACCCGAGGCUCAACCUCGGGCCUGCAGUGGGUACGGGCAGACUAGAGUGCGGUAGGGGAGAUUGGAAUUCCUGGUGUAGCGGUGGAAUGCGCAGAUAUCAGGAGGAACACCAAUGGCGAAGGCAGAUCUCCUGGGCCGUAACUGACGCUGGAGGAGCGAAAGCGUGGGGAGCGAACAGG